rnacentral:miRNA from 1 species
AUGAGAGGAAUGAGUAACAAAAGUGAAAACAAAAACUUGAAAUAGAUUUCAGUAUUUAGUUUUUGUUUUCACUUUUGUUACUCCUCCCUUCCAUC